GAAGCUCGGUAUUAUCUUCGAAUAACCUGAAAAAUAAAUUUAUUUUAGAUAAGAUGUGUAAUAUUACAGCUAAAAAGGGAAUGAGAGUGAUAGCUAAGCGAUUUAUAGUAGAGCAUUGAAAUAAAGGCUUUGAAAUUCACUUGACACGUGAACCGUGGUUCAUAAAUACAUGCAUGAACGAAGCAACUGGUACGACGGUGCAUAUAUGUACGUACAUGUGAUGGAAAAACGAGGGCAAAGGGCAUGUACACAUAGAAAGGCUUAUUGAUUCGCCAACUAGGUUGACCGCUGGACCGAGAGACGUAUCAUCACCUUUUGUACUGGCCCGAAUAACGCGCGCACUAAAAGCCGAUUUAUAAACACCCAUCGACUAAGAAUCAACAUUUUAUAAUCGGGAUAUAAAUACCCGCUCAGACUAACAUUUAGAUUAACACUGUCAAAAAUUUAUCCGAUCUAUUGAGGUCUUGUGAUUUUUAAUUUCAAUGGGAUUCUGUUUGAUGAUGUAUCAAGAAGAAAUUUUCAAGCUAAAUAUAACAGUUGAUUGAAUUAAUGUUUAUUUUACUGGAAUGUCUAAUUUAUUUUUAAGCAAUCUUCGGCGGGCGGAUUCCCUCAAACACACCACUCAGUCACAGGUGGUAAUUUCCAGCUUGUUUCUCCAGACGACAGGCACAACUGAG